CAAUAGCAGCAAUGACUGACAAGUCAUCACCGAAUGAGGGAAGUGGAAAUAAGGAAUAGGGGAGAUUAUUUUUAAUGACUAUGGCAACACCGCCAUAGCCGUCAGGUCUGUCCUGUCGGAGAAUAACAUAACCUGGAAUUCGAAAUGUCAAUUUCGGGCGAAGCCAUGUUUCCGACAGAGUUGAGACAAAAGGAAAUACCCAAAUUGGACUGGGUGCAAGGAGGCGAUGCCAGUAUCUGAAGAAACUUUUUGCACAUGAACUACAAAUGGCCCUAUGUCAUAGGCCUCAUAAAACGAUCGGCCUGUAGGGUUUUUUGGAGACUGAGAACUAUCUGAUGGGGGGUGUUGUUGGGUAUUAACAGUUACACUUGUAUUAUGUGCUGGGUAACCUUUUUGCUGAAAACUAUCUACAUCGUUAGCGUUCUUAAUCUCAGUACAUAAUGAGGGAAAUUCAAUAUCCGGUAUUUGGCACGAACAAUCAGUCUCUUUUUGCUUGUUACGACGCGUCGGGUCAAAUCUUUUUUUCCUCUUAUUACAAUGUUUGCAAAUUUUACCUAAUCUCAUUCUUUUACGGUCACUCCGUUGAUCCACAUCUGUGUCUACACUGGACUCGUCCAGUUUAGAAAAUCUAUUUUCUACUAUAAUAUUACACGCAACCUCAGGGGGCGAGCCCCCGAUAUCCGGGGGCUCGUUCAUUUUUUCGCCUGAUUCCAGGCCUUGAGGAAAAAGUAUAAAAACUUACCAAAUGCUGAAGAAUAUAUACACAAAUUAAAGAAAUAAACAAUUAAGUUAAACUACUACAUACAAUAUAUACAAAUUGAUCUUUUAUAUCAAUUAAAUUAAAUUUAUAAAUUUUACUAAAAAACAAAACUCCCGCCACGACCAACGUUUCCCGCCUUUUUUUC